rnacentral:rRNA from 1 species
ACUCCUACGGGAGGCAGCAGUGGGAAUAUUGCACAAUGGGGGAAACCCUGAUGCAGCCAUGCCGCGUGUGUGAAGAAGGCCUUCGGGUUGUAAAGCACUUUCAGUAGGGAGGAAGGUAGUGUAGUUAACACCUGCAUUUAUUUGACGUUACCUACAGAAGAAGCACCGGCUAACUCCGUGCCAGCAGCCGCGGUAAUACGGAGGGUGCGAGCGUCAAAUCGGAAUUACUGGGCGUAAAGCGUGCGCAGGCGGUUUGCUAAGACCGAUGUGAAAUCCCCCGGGCUAAACCUGGGGAACUGCAUUGGGUGACUGGCAGGCUAGAGUAUGG